rnacentral:rRNA from 1 species
UGCCAGCAGCCGCGGUAAUACGGAGGGAGCGAGCGUUAAUCGGAAUUAUUGGGCGUAAAGGGCGCGUAGGCGGUCUUGUCGGUCAGGUGUGAAAGCCCGGGGCUCAACCCUGGAAGUGCACUUGAAACAGCAAGACUUGAGUACGGGAGAGGAAAGCGGAAUUCCUGGUGUAGAGGUGAAAUUCGUAGAUAUCAGGAGGAACACCAAUGGCGAAGGCAGCUUUCUGGACAGAUACUGACGCUGAGGUGCGAAAGCGUGGGGAGCAAACAGGAUUAGAUA